AAAAAGGAUCAAUGACGGCACGGAGGCGGUGUAAGCGAACGGCAGCAAUGUGGCCGGUCAGCACGGCUGGACCGGGCUGAUACCGGCGAGGCGGUGCGCCCCCGCGGAGAUAACCGGAGCGUGUCGGCGGCGCGCCUGGGUCGGCAACCAGCUGCCGCCGCAUUGGCAGGGUAUGACAAAUUAGUUUAUAGUCCAGAAAAAUGAUAAGUUUAGCAACACCGCGCAGUUCGUUAAAGAGACAUUAGAUAAAUAUAUAACUCUCUCAGCCAGGCUUUUAUCCGAUGAUUAGCUCACGCUUUUCAGCCCUCGCUCGCUCAGGCUCCGCGACCAGGCUGACGCUGCAGGGGCCACCUUAUAACGUUCCGGCAAAAUCCCGGCCCAUGAAUAUUCAGGCGGGCUGGGAUGCGAUCAGCCUGCAGCGGAUGACUGAAGCUGGACCCGAGAGCGGUAUAUGCAGUAGAUGUGGCUUGACAGGAUCCAGCCACCUUGCCAAUCUCCGUGAGACAUCAGCCAUCCGAUACGCAUCAGUCUCGAGUGCCCGGGCUGGAAGCGGCGCGGUGAAAUGAAGAACGACGGCGCAGGCUUUCCUGUCUCUAAGCAGGAGUAUCGCCCGGAGGAUGCCUGGGAAUGCAGAGGAUCACGUCUGCACAUAGCCUAUCUGUCCAUCCACCCACCCAUUCAUCCACCCAUCCAUCCAUCCAUCCAAAAGUGUCCAUCUGCAGCCCGCAAGACUACAACGCCCAGUACAAGUUACACCCACAACAAUACAGGUAGGUUUAUGCCAUUGAGCUAUU